UACGUAGGUGGCGAGCGUUAUCCGGAAUUAUUGGGCGUAAAGCGCGCGCAGGCGGUUUCUUAAGUCUGAUGUGAAAGCCCACGGCUCAACCGUGGAGGGUCAUUGGAGACUGGGGAACUUGAGUGCAGAAGAGGAAAGCGGAAUUCCACGUGUAGCGGUGAAAUGCGUAGAGAUGUGGAGGAACACCAGUGGCGAAGGCGGCUUUCUGGUCUGUAACUGACGCUGAGGCGCGAAAGCGUGGGGAGCAAACAGG
rnacentral:rRNA from 1 species